GACCAUUAUUCCUCAACAUUCCUUUUCACGUGUAGAGCCUAAGUAAGGUUUUAACAACCUAUCUAGCUUAGGAGAUGGAAUCCACUGCCUUUACAAAGAUGAUGGACAAAAGGCUAGACAAGUUAUCAAGGCAAUCCAAUUCUAAAGUGAAAAUUUAGAUGUUUAGAUAGAUGAGUCAAAGAGUAUAUAAGUAUCAUAAG
rnacentral:lncRNA from 1 species